rnacentral:lncRNA from 12 species
AUGUACUGCCUCUGUUCCGGUAGUUCCUUCUCAUCCUCUGGCCAGAGUUGGUAUUUGUGCAGAACCGCGGCCAGGCUCCAGGGGCCAGGGGCAAGCCAGCCUCCCCGGGGCCCCAUGGGGCCUCCUGCACAGCCCCCCUUUCAGCCCGGGCCACCCCUGGGGCUGCUCCCCUGCUUCUGCGCUGUGUCCCCGUUGCUGCUGCCAAUUUGGGCCAAUGUGCUGGCCAAACAGCCUCCAUCAGAGAACAUCAUUAAGGCGCUCUGGGCCCAGCAUGCGAAUCUCCGACCUGCAGCAUCCGCACCACCUGAGAGCGGGUUGAAGAUGCAGACUCUGAGCGUCCCACCCCAGGCUCCCUGCGUCAGAGUCCGCAUUGUACCCAGACCCCUGGGUGCUUCAGAAGCCCCACUCUAUGACGUGGGCAAUCGAAUGAACCGAGACUCCUCCUGAGCAUCUGGUAGGUGGAGACAAUUUAUGACACAAUUUGACGGGUUGUCGUUUAGACGAAUAUGAGUUGGACGUGGUGGGAAUAAGGUGUUGCUCGCAGGGCACGUUGGUUUAACCAAGAGAAAAUCACCUGAGGGUGUGGCAAUGAAGACAGGAAGUCUGAUCGCGGUCCUUCCUUGGCCUGGCACGUACAGGACGAGAGAGUAUUGUGUCCGGGCCUGCUUGCCAAGCCAGACGCACGCCGGACAGCCCGUCUUCCCUGCUUGGUGGCUCAGGGGUUGCACUUCCAUGGGAGACAGUCCUCUAAUUAGUGUCCCCGAACUCAAGCUCCUUUCAUGGCGCUGAUCGUGCCUCCUCCACAGAGGCUGAGCCAGGGAGCACCCCCGGGGGCAGGUUCGAGAAGUCUGCAGGCACCGGCUGCCCAGCCCAGCCCACGCAGGCCACCGGCGGCCGAAGACUGGCUUUCUGUUAGAGCUGGUACCACCGACGGUCGGCCUCUCCUUCCUGGGGGUAGAGCCUGGCAGAUCUAAGCUUUCUCUCCGACAGUUUGUCAUGCAGUAAUGUAACUGCUAGAUGAUGGCUCAUGAGGUCUGGCCACCGCCUCUGGUUAAAGAAGCGGGACUGAGGAAGGCACUAGCCACGCUGCUGACCCCAGGAACCCCAUGUUCACGGACAGCCUGUUGACAUAACAAACUGAGAGUUUGUGAUUUGAGCGGCCUCGAAACCCGAAAAUAAAUAAGGUCUUUUCUAAUAGUACUUAUUUGUA